CACUUCAGUAGAGGACUAUUUGUCGUGGAAAGAUAUUCGUAUAAAUUGAAAAAAAAUGUUGUUCCCGAUAUUCUGGUACCUACUCCACCCAAACCUUUUGAGACUGAUGAUGGUGUUAAUGAUAAUGAUGAUGAUUCUGAUGACAAUCGUUCUUUAAAUAAUAAGAGUCGUAAGUCUGAAGUGUCUGACUUGACAAAACCGUCUGGAAAAAUAAAUUUUUUAAUUGUUAUAUAAUAAUUCCGGCUGGUUAAAUAUCAAUAUGGAUUAGAAAUCUCAGUAAAUGAAAAUACUGAAGUCUCUGGUGAUGAAGCUAUACCGGGAACUUCGAACCAACAUACUCAAUCAAGUAAGUAUGCUCCAAAAUCAUCUCGGGAGUUAUUGUUAGAGCAGCAGCUUCAUGAGCUUCAGAACGAGAAUAAUGCAUUGAAAAAUGAGGUUGCUCAUUUGACACAAAAAUCAACAACAUUGGAUGAUAACUUGAAAAAAUUCUUGAAUCCUGAUCAGUUGUUGUUUUUGAAAGGCAGUGCUUCGACGAACUCCAAACCUUGGUCAGAGGAUACUAUCAAAAAAGGUCUGCGAAUCCGAUUAUUGAUGGGCACUAAGGCUUAUAAAAGUUUGAGGGACAAUGAAGGAUUUCCUUUACCUGCUUUUUCCACGCUUUAUAAUCGCCUGUCGGGAUUUAAUUUUGCUCCUGGAACUUUCCACAGUAUCAUUGAGUGGCUGGGGAUAAAAAUUCAACAAGAGCAAGACGAAACUGCUCGUUAUUGUGU